ensembl:lincRNA Gm44904 predicted gene 44904
AAUAGGCCUUGUCUUCUGGGGAAAGCAUGGUCUGCCCAUUCAAGUGUGAGCAAGAGUUGUUCAACAUCCUUAAUCAUCAGAGAAAUGCAAAUCAAAACAACCCUGAGAUUCCAUCUCACACCAGUCAGANNNNNNNNNNNNNNNGAGCUUAGAGCAAAAGCUUCUAAAAUCAAGAAGAAGAAAAAGCUUUUUCAGAGUCAUUCCAGGAUCCCAUGGAGUUGUGACUAGAUAAGACACUUGGCUGCUCUGAGACGAAAAUGUCUUACGGAUUGGCAGAUAAGGAAGAGCUCUGACUGCCUGUCCCUAGUCAUGGAAGGGAGUGAUAAGCAGACAUAGAAGUAAGGACCUGCAAGAGGAACACACCUUCACACUCCUAUAAGUGAAUUUAUCAGAUAAAAGCAAGAGAUUCAGCAUCACUAAGAGCAAAAAUGUGUGAAAGACUAUGAAAAGGAAUAAAGUGGGAGCUUGCAUCUUUAGUGUCCAAAGUACAAGCCCUGUUGCCUGGAAUUCUUCGUUAUACAAACCUUUAUUCAAUGAGCGUCUGCUGACAGGGUUGGACAACACAAAGUCAAUCCCCAGGAGUCACGUGACAGAAAGAACCAACUCUUGCAAGUUGACCUCUGACUUCCAUAUAGUGGCCGUGCCAUGUGCAUCCCUACCAGAGCCACAGUAUCCACUUCUUUGCAUGUGAGCCAGCAACCCACGUGACUUACAUCUCUACAGGGAAAAACACCUAUACCACUUAAUUCUCAAGGUUGUUGAGAAGUACCUCCCCUAUAUUCAUCAAUAUGGGAGACUAUAAGAAGAAUGGCUGUUUUAUUAUAUAUUUGAAUAUUUCCAUAUGAAAUUGUGAAUACUACUUAAUGACAGGUUGUCUCUUCACUGGAAUGAUGAUGCUCUUUGUUACACAGAGCUUUUUAGUUUCAUGAGGUCCCAUUUAUUUUUGUGUGAGGGUACAGUAUUUCAAUGAAGGUGAUAUGAUCACUCCUGUUUGGAAGCUGAAUCAAUGAAAACACAAGUGCCUGUAAUAGAAUAUCAUUGCCUUCAACUACUGACUAAAACCUUUGGGGGGUUUUGAUUUGAGCUCAGACCUUACAGCAUUCUAUUAUUUAUGUGAAAGAAAUUUACAAUCCUUGUUCUGACAAACUAGUCCACCCAGAGAACAAGACAGGAUCUGUCAUGUUUGCCAAUCAAUGCUGGUGGUGUAAAUCACACCUGCUGAUGUCAAGCAUAAACAUCUGCUUCUAGAACUUUCCCCCACUUUCCAUCAGCUCUCACUGGCCUUAUUUUUUAAAUAAAUCUACAUGUCUUUC